UUGAUCCGAAGAUUUCCGAAUGAGGAAACUCACUUAGAGUAAUGUCUAAGUAUCAGUAAGUGAAUACAUAGCUUAAGGAGGGGAACUCAGGGAACUGAAACAUCUAAGUACCUGAAGGAAGAGAAAGAAAUUCGAUUCCGUAAGUAGCGGCGAGCGAACGCGGAUUAGCCCAAACCAAUAAAGUUUUCUUUAUUGGGGUUGCGGACAUAUCAUAACGGAGAGGUAUCGUAAUUGAAGAGGUUUGGAAAGACCCACCACAGAAGGUAAUAGUCCUGUAUGUUAAACGAGAAGACUUCAGAUAUGAUCCAGAGUACCACGGGACACGUGAAACCCUGUGGGAAGCAGGAGGGACCACCCUCCAAGGCUAAAUACUACCUAGUGACCGAUAGCGUAUAGUACCGUGAGGGAAAGGUGAAAAGAACC
rnacentral:rRNA from 1 species